UGGGGAAUAUUGGACAAUGGGGGGAACCCUGAUCCAGCCAUGCCGCGUGUGUGAAGAAGGCCUUAUGGUUGUAAAGCACUUUAAGCGAGGAGGAGGGUACUGGUAUUAAUACUACCAGGUACUGGACGUUACUCGCAGAAUAAGCACCGGCUAACUCUGUGCCAGCAGCCGCGGUAAUACAGAGGGUGCGAGCGUUAAUCGGAUUUACUGGGCGUAAAGCGUGCGUAGGCGGCUAAUUGAGUCGGAUGUGAAAUCCCCGAGCUUAACUUGGGAAUUGCAUUCGAUACUGGUUAGCUAGAGUGUGGGAGAAGAUGGUAGAAUUCCAGGUGUAGCGGUGAAAUGCGUAGAGAUCUGGAGGAAUACCGAUGGCGAAGGCAGCCAUCUGGCCUAACACUGACGCUGAGGUACGAAAGCAUGGGGAGCAAACAGG
rnacentral:rRNA from 1 species